rnacentral:rRNA from 1 species
CUUACCAUGCAGUCGACGGCAGCGCGGGGGUAACCCUGGCGGCGAGUGGCGAACGGGUGAGUAAUACAUCGGAACGUGUCCUGGAGUGGGGGAUAGCCCGGCGAAAGCCGGAUUAAUACCGCAUACGAUCCACGGAUGAAAGCGGGGGACCGAAAGGCCUCGCGCUCAAGGAGCGGCCGAUGGCGGAUUAGCUAGUUGGUGGGGUAAAGGCCCACCAAGGCGACGAUCCGUAGCUGGUCUGAGAGGACGACCAGCCACACUGGGACUGAGACACGGCCCAGACUCCUACGGGAGGCAGCAGUGGGGAAUUUUGGACAAUGGGCGAAAGCCUGAUCCAGCAAUGCCGCGUGUGUGAAGAAGGCCUUCGGGUUGUAAAGCACUUUUGUCCGGAAAGAAAACUUCGCCUCUAAUACAGGUGGAGGAUGACGGUACCGGAAGAAUAAGCACCGGCUAACUACGUGCCAGCAGCCGCGGUAAUACGUAGGGUGCAAGCGUUAAUCGGAAUUACUGGGCGUAAAGCGUGCGCAGGCGGUGAUGUAAGACCGAUGUGAAAUCCCCGGGCUUAACCUGGGAACUGCAUUGGUGACUGCAUUGCUAGAGUAUGGCAGAGGGGGGUGGAAUUCCACGUGUAGCAGUGAAAUGCGUAGAGAUGUGGAGGAACACCGAUGGCGAAGGCAGCCCCCUGGGCCAAUACUGACGCUCAUGCACGAAAGCGUGGGGAGCAAACAGGAUUAGAUACCCUGGUAGUCCACGCCCUAAACGAUGUCAACUGGUUGUUGGGGAUUCAUUUCCUUAGUAACGAAGCUAACGCGUGAAGUUGACCGCCUGGGGAGUACGGUCGCAAGAUUAAAU